UAAAAAGGACCGUAGCUUUGUCUGGGAAAUUACUUGUUUGCAAUAAAAUUGCUGUCAUUUUAGGGGCAAGAAAAGGAUGAGAGCCAAACUGGGAAAGGAAUUUAGUGUCAUGAAAUCAAACCAGCAAGUUUAGAUCAAAAGGUCUUUGGAGCAGGAAAUGUGCCUAAUCAUGUAUUCAUACAGUGACUGACAAAAUGAGGCUUUUGUCUUGACUUGAGUCCCUGGGAAUCGUCAGAAAGCAAACACCAGACCAAGGCAAGCUGCACCAGGACCUCUGAGAUAUACACAGAGGAGUGAAAAUGAGAGUGAAGUUACUCUUCUCACACUACAUUUUGCACUGAAAAUUAUUAACUUGGUUACUGAAAGCCUUAUCCAUAUUCAUGGAUUUUAAACAACUAAAGCAAAACAAAAUGGAUAUUCCUUCCGUACCUGGAGAAAUGGCUGCUGCUGCUGCUGAGAGCUGGUGCAUCUCCUUGGUGAAACUCUGGUUCAACAUGAUCAGCUCCUGCCCUAGAGCUCCAGCUGUCUCAAGGACUUUGAGAACAAACAAUAUGGAUUACAGUGCUGUGUACCUCCACUGCACCAGACAGAAGCCAUGCAAUGAAAUUGGUGACUGAGCUGGCUCAGGGAAUGGAGGAGGACCAGGCUUGGCUAGCAGAGAGCUGGAUCCACAGAUAUAGUAAGGACGGGACCAUGUGAAGGGUGCUGAGUGAGUAGGGUGUGGGUAUUUAUCACACUGUGG
rnacentral:lncRNA from 1 species